CAAGAUGUAGCUUAAUUUUAAAAGCUUAUUAUUUACAUUAAUAUGAAAACUUUUAGUUUUUCUUGA
rnacentral:tRNA from 1 species